rnacentral:sRNA from 1 species
AGGCAUUGGAAGAGAAGCAGUUUCAGCAGUAAG